AGACCUCAGGUCAGGCGGGGCUACCCGCUGAGUUUAAGCAUAUCAAUAAGCGGAGGAAAAGAAA
rnacentral:rRNA from 1 species